rnacentral:rRNA from 1 species
UACCAGCACCCCGAGUGGUCGGGACGAUUAUUGGGCCUAAAGCAUCCGUAGCCGGUCCUACAAGUCUUCCGUUAAAUCCACCUGCUUAACAGAUGGGCUGCGGAAGAUACUAUAGGGCUAGGAGGCGGGAGAGGCAAGCGGUACUCAGUGGGUAGGGGUAAAAUCCUCUGAUCCAUUGAAGACCACCAGUGGCGAAGGCGGUUUGCCAGAACGCGCUCGACGGUGAGGGAUGAAAGCUGGGGGAGCAAACCGG